rnacentral:rRNA from 1 species
AGUGAACGCUGGCGGUAGGCCUAACACAUGCAAGUCGAACGGCAGCACAGCAAGAGCUUGCUCUUACGGGUGGCGAGUGGCGGACGGGUGGGGAAUACAUCGGAAUCUACUUUUUCGUGGGGGAUAGCGUAGGGAAACUUACGCUAAUACCGCAUACGACCUACGGGUGAAAGCAGGGGAUCUUCGGACCUUGCGCGAUUGAAUGAGCCGAUGUCGGAUUAGCUAGUUGGCGGGGUAAAGGCCCACCAAGGCGACGAUCCGUAGCUGGUCUGAGAGGAUGAUCAGCCACACUGGAACUGAGACACGGUCCAGACUCCUACGGGAGGCAGCAGUGGGGAAUAUUGGACAAUGGGCGCAAGCCUGAUCCAGCCAUACCGCGUGGGUGAAGAAGGCCUUCGGGUUGUAAAGCCCUUUUGUUGGGAAAGAAAAGCAGCAGGUUAAUACCCCGCUGUUCUGACGGUACCCAAAGAAUAAGCACCGGCUAACUUCGUG